AUCAGCUGGAGGCGGGAACCAGGUGAGGAACAGAUUUGUGAACUGAGAGAAUGUUUGAGCUGUAGGGCUGAAGCAAGUUCUGAUGUUACACCGCACCCCGCUACAGUGUUGGUAUCGUCCAGUCCCACGGAAGCGCCGGAUAGAACCGAGAGCCGUCGAAACCCGCCGAGAGCCGGCACCGGAGGAUCUGACCGAAAACGAUAUUGAAGACCUUCUGGUGUCUGACAGACAGACGUCAGGAUAGAACCUGGACCAGUUGUUAGAGCUCAAUGGAGAAGGAAGCAACGAGUUUACAGUGCAGAUAGUGAAGAACAUAAAGGAGCCGUGAUGCCUGUGAAGAAGAGGAAGUUACCUGAUGCAGGUGAUCAUGAGCACAGGUGUAAACUCAGCAGCUUAUCUCGACCUCACAUUCGUCCCGUGAAGCCGGUCGGUGCCGUCAGGUCAUUCUCUGGUAAAAGAUGUCUGACUUGGUUCCAUGAAUAUGCUGGACCCGGCACAGUGGUCGGACCCGAGGCCAUGGCGAAAUUCUGUGAGGACGUCGGAGUGGAACCAGAGAAUGUCCUCAUGCUGGUUUUAGCCUGGCAUCUGGAAGCAGCUAACAUGGGCUUCUUCACCAGAGACGAGUGGCUCAGAGGGAUGACAGUAUUACAGUGUGACUGCACGGAGAGGUUACAGAGUAAACUGGACUACCUGCGCAGUGAGCUGAACGACGCCGCUGCCUUCAAAAAUAUCUACAGAUAUGCCUUCGACUUCUCCAGAGUGAGUCCUGCUGCUGGUUCUAUGGAGCGCAGGAUAAGAACCAGAGGGUUCUGGACAUGGACACAGCUAAGUCCAUGCUGGAUCUGCUGCUCGGGCGAACGUGGCCUCUGUUCCCAGUGUUCCACCGGUUCCUUGAGCAGUCCAAAUAUAAAGGCCUGAACAAGGACCAGUGGUACAAUGUUCUGGAGUUCAGCAGAACCAUCAACCCUGACCUCAGCAACUACGACGAAGACGGAGCCUGGCCGGUGCUGCUGGAUGAGUUUGUGGAAUGGAGGAAGUCGUGUUCAGCGUCGUAGCAGACAGUCAUCAUCUGGACACUAAAAGGAGGAAGGAAGUGAAGGUGGAGGAACCUGUGAUGAAGCUGCUUCCAGGUGAACCGACCCUCCAGGUGGACUCACCACCAGCACAGAAAUGAACUCAUUUAUGUUUUCUACAGAGUUAUUUUUCCAUUUUGUGUCUUGUUUAUAGAUAUUUCAAAGUAAUAAUAAAGGAGAAAAAAACAUUCAUUUUAA